rnacentral:rRNA from 1 species
CCUACGGGGGGCAGCAGUAGGGAAUUUUCGGCAAUGGGGGGAACCCUGACCGAGCAACGCCGCGUGAACGAAGAAGUUAUUCGUAAUGUAAAGUUCUUUUAACAGGGAAGAAAGAGAAAUUUGACGGUACCUGAAGAAUAAGCUCCGGCUAACUACGGGCCAGCAGCCGCGGUAAUACGUAGGGAGCGAGCGUUAUCCGGAAUUAUUGGGCGAAAAGGGUGCGUAGAUGGCAUAGUAAGUCUUUUGUAAAAAUGCUGGGCUCAACCCAGUAGGGCAAAAGAUACUGCAAAGCUAGAGUAUGAAAGAGGCAAGUGGAACUACAUGUGUAGCGGUAAAAUGCGUAAAUAUAUGUAAGAACACCAGUGGCGAAGGCGGCUUGCUGGGUCGAUACUGACAUUGAGGCACGAAAGCGUGGGGAGCAAACAGGAUUAGAUACCCGAGUAGUC